rnacentral:rRNA from 1 species
CGAAGGUCCCAAGCGUUAUCCGGAUUUAUUGGGUUUAAAGGGUGCGUAGGCGGGUUAUUAAGUCAGUGGUGAAAGCCUUCAGCUUAACUGAAGAACUGCCAUUGAUACUGAUGAUCUUGAGUAUGAUUGAGGUUGGCGGAAUGUGUCAUGUAGCGGUGAAAUGCUUAGAUAUGACACAGAACACCGAUUGCGAAGGCAGCUAACUAAGCCAUAACUGACGCUGAUGCACGAAAGCGUGGGGAGCAAACAGGAUUAGAUACCCUGGUAGUCCACGCCCUAAACGAUGAUCACUCGAUGUGUGCGAUACACUGUACGCGUCUGAGCGAAAGCAUUAAGUGAUCCACCUGGGGAGUACGACCGCAAGGUUG